CCAGGGUCUCAAGGAAGGAAGCCUCACACCACUGUGCUCCCGCCCAGGUGAUCUUGGACAAGGCCCUUAACUGUCCCCGUCUGCUUACUCUCACCUCCAGGAAAACAGCUCCUCACCUAAUUUUGGAACUUCCUUCAUGCCCGGAAGCAAGCUUGAUCCUAGAUGAAGUUGGCAGUGUUCCACAUGAAGCAGUCUAUACCUGAGUGGUCAGUGGACAAGGAAAUAGCAGAUUAUCACCAGGCUUUCCAUGGUUCACAGCAUCCACUCCCCAGGCACUUGGUCUCCUGUGGGCCUGGAAUGUGUUCUGACGCAGCCACUUCAAGUGUCAGCUAAGCCCAUAAGGUGCACAGAGUGUGGAAGGAGGAGGUGAAAUGGAAAAUGUGCAUUGUUCCUAGCUGAUGAGGAACCUGGGAAGGAUUUUAACUCAAAGAAAAAAAAUCCAAGGUAACUACAAAGAAAGGAUUCCAUCAAAUGCAGAACUAAAAUCAGAAUUAUACUAAAAGGACUAUUAACAGCACUUAAGUGUCAGUGGAAUAAAUUCUUAAUUGUAUCUGGAUAUGAAUUUUUUUAAGAUUUAC
ensembl:lncRNA